rnacentral:rRNA from 1 species
UACGAAGGUAGCAAGCGUUGUUCGGAUUUACUGGGCGUACAGGGAGCGUAGGCGGUUGGGUAAGCCCUCCGUGAAAUCUUCCGGGCCUAACCCGGAAAGUGCGGAGGGGACUGCUCGGCUAGAGGAUGGGAGAGGAGCGCGGAAUUCCCGGUGUAGCGGUGAAAUGCGUAGAGAGUCGGGAGGAAGGCCGGUGGCGAAGGCGGCGCUCUGGAACAUUUC